GAACUAAACCAGAAUGAGGAUGGAAGCAGGAAGUUCUCAUGUUCAGUUGCAUAUCUGACUGAGGGUUCUGAAAUGGAAACAAUAAAAAAUGAAUUGAGACUAACUUAUUGGGCCAAGAACAAGGUUACAUCUAGGAAGCUGGGCUUGAGAAUGAAAAUGAGAAGAAAAAAAGCAGAGACUUUGGUGAUUGAAGACUGUGAGCUUCAGAACAAGACCAUGUAACAGGUGCCCAAACUACAGUAAGGGAAAGAAGCUGGGAGGGGAACUGAGCAUCCACAGCUCUUCUCAAGCUCGCUGACAAGCACCUCAGACACUGGCACUGAAUCUGGCCCUUGCCUGCUCCUUCAGGCCCUGAUCCUAAAUUUCUGCAAAGUACCCUUACUCUGAGCACUGACUGAGCCUCUGCCACACCAGCGAACAUUUCCUUCUCAGCUGUCAGAAGCCCCAGUCCUGGUUUUUCUCCACCUGGUCACAAAUGUUAUAAUGAUAAGACCCUUAUGUUCGCUACAUUUGACUUUAUCUUGACUCUUAAAGUAUCCAUCAAGAAUUACUUUUUUUUUUUUUUUAAUGAGAAUGACCUGAUGCCUCAUCAUUCUUAAAGGUGAGUGGUUCCCUAGCCAAUGGGAACCAAGUAACGGUACGGAG